AAAUGGACGGGCUUACAGAUGCUGCACAACAAAUCACCCAAAUACCUGUGAGCACAGAGCAAUAAUGCCAUGAAGACUGACCUUUCCAGGGAAAUUUCUAGAACUUAUUCAACAUGGGAGGAGAGAAAAAGAGAAGGGGAAGUGUCCCGCGCGCGCUAUGUUCUCACCGGCAAGAAUCACGCAGGACACUCGGAUCCUUCUGCAGGAAAGCUUUAAUGCGUCUUGAGAGAGGAGAGCAUAAGCUUACCAGAGCGGAGACCCCGGCCCAAGAAUCCCGUUCCUUAAUAAAGGCUGGCAGCCCGCCUGGGAUGUGUUACCCUAUGAAUGGCUUCAGCUCCUCAGGCCAAAUGAGCCACGGGAUAGGCAGAGAUCAAAGAAAUGGAGAAUUACCCAGCG
rnacentral:lncRNA from 1 species